rnacentral:rRNA from 1 species
UUUGUAGAGGAUGUUUCGAGCAUGGUCUGGCCUAAGUUCCUUGGAACAGGACGUCAUAGAGGGUGAGAAUCCCGUAUGCGGUCAGGUGCCUACGCUCAUGUGAAACUCCUUCGACGAGUCGAGUUGUUUGGGAAUGCAGCUCAAAAUGGGAGGUAAAUUUCUUCUAAAGCUAAAUAUUGGCCAGAGACCGAUAGCGCACAAGUAGAGUGAUCGAAAGAUGAAAAGCACUUUGGAAAGAGAGUUAAACAGUACGUGAAAUUGUUGAAAGGGAAGCGCUUGCAACCAGACUUGCACGCAGCUGAUCAUCCGGGCUUCUGCCCGGUGCACUCGGUUGUGUUCAGGCCAGCAUCAGUUUUGGGGGUGGGAUAAAGGCCCUAGGAAUGUAGCUCCUCUCGGGGAGUGUUAUAGCCUAGGGUGCAAUGCCACCACCCGGGACUGAGGACCGCGCUUCGGCUAGGA